GACGAACGCUGGCGGCAUGCCUAAUACAUGCAAGUCGAGCGAACAGAUGAAGUGCUUGCACUUCUGACGUUAGCGGCGAACGGGUGAGUAACACGUAAGGAAUCUACCUAUAAGCGGGGGAUAACAUUCGGAAACGGGUGCUAAUACCGCAUAAUAUCUUCUUCCGCAUGGAAGAAGAUUGAAAGACGGCUCUGCUGUCACUUAUAGAUGACCUUGCGGUGCAUUAGUUAGUUGGUGGGGUAACGGCCUACCAAGACGAUGAUGCAUAGCCGACCUGGGAGGGUGAUCGGCCACAUUGGGACUGAGACACGGCCCAAACUCCUACGGGAGGCAGCAGUAGGGAAUCUUGCGCAAUGGGCGAAAGCCUGACGCAGCAACGCCGCGUGAGCGAAGACGGCCUUCGGGUUGUAAAGCUCUGUCAGGAGGGACGAAGCCACUCGGGUGAAUAGCCCAGAGGGUGACGGUACCUCCAGAGGAAGCCCCGGCUAACUACGUGCCAGCCGCCGCAGUAA
rnacentral:rRNA from 1 species